AAAGUGGAUUUCCCUUCUAAAGAGGAUCAGAAGAGGAUUCUCAAGUUUGGCAUGAGUCGAGUUACUGGAACUAGCUUUGUGUUGCAGUUUGAUGAGUGGAAAAAGAAGGAACCGCAGGGCACACCACUGACUCAGAUCUGGGUUCGAUUUUCGGGGGCACCUUCCGAGCCCUUGGAUGAUUUCUUUGUCACGUGGAGCUUGGGGUCCUUGCUCGGUAAGACGGAGCAGGUGGAUAUGCCUUUCACUUGUGCUCACGGUGUAGCUCGUUUGUUGAUUAGCAUGGCUAACAUUCAGUUCUUGCCGGAUGUGGUCAGAUGGUGUUAUGAGGGUAUUGCCUACAUGUUGAAUGUAGAGUAUGAGGACCCGGACUUGUUUCAGGAUUUUGAGGAGCUGCUACCUAUGGAUACCUCUGAGGGGGGAGGUGCUUCUGGGAACCGUGGAGAUGACGCACCCGGUGAUGGUGACAGGGGUUCCAGGCAUGUGGAUUCGUCUAAGCCAGCAGAGUCUGCUCAGGGGAAAACAUCGGUUUCGGCACCGUCCAACAUGCUUCAGCUUGGCUCCGUAGGGGCUUUCUCUGCGCCCCUUCGUCUUUGGAAUGAUCGUGUGGAGUUGGAUGAUCCGUCUGAGCAUGUGCCACCGGUGAUUUCGGAGGUCUUGAGGGCUGAGGAAACGGACAAAUUUUCUGCACAGGAGGUUGUUUCUCCUCCUUCAUCGCCGAUACCGCGGCUGGACAUGACGACUCUUUUGGACGACUCGGCGGAGCUGGCCGGGAGUACGGUCAGGUCCUUCUCUGCUUUGCCGGUGAUCGGUUCGUCGGGACUCAGGGCCAGCGCAGUAGUAACGACCACUCCGGAGGCUCGGCGG
rnacentral:rRNA from 1 species